UACGUAGGGAGCAAGCGUUGUCCGGAAUCAUUGGGCGUAAAGCGCGCGUAGGCGGCCCGAUAAGUCCGCUGUAAAAGUCAACGGCUCAACUGUUGAAAGCCGGUGGAUACUGUCGGGCUAGAGUACGGAAGAGGCAAGUGGAAUUCCUGGUGUAGCGGUGAAAUGCGCAGAUAUCAGGAGGAACACCUAUUGCGAAGGCAGCUCGCUGGGACGUGACUGACGCUGAGACGCGAAGCGUGGGAGGCAACAAGAUGAGAACCUAACGUAGUCAG
rnacentral:rRNA from 1 species